GAGCAGUCCAUUUUCGGGAAAGGGGGAGGAGUCUAACCGAAGAUGUUACCUUUAUAAAGAACGUCUUUGCUGAGUGAAAAUAAAUUAGAGCGAAGCUGCCAAGCAACAAUAAAGUACCCUGAAGCCAGAUUGAGUGUUUGAGAGCUGCCUUGAUUAUGAAGGGGAAAAGUGUAAUGACUGUUUUCCUGUUUGCACUUGUUGCAAAAUACUCCUUGUCCCAUCCUAUCAAUUUAACAGUGAUGUUGAAUGACCCAGUUACACUCUGCUCUGGAUCAUGCCAUGGUGGUGUCAUCGAGUUGAGGCGUUAUCAGGAAUCUCAAUCAGGGUCCAUCAUCACGAAGAUGGUUGCUAAACUUGACGGAGAUAAUUUAACCACAGGUGAAGGAAGAGGUUUGAAAACAGGGAUGGAAAAUUCUCUCUAACCAUCU
rnacentral:lncRNA from 13 species